CGUGUCGUGAGAUGUUGGGUUAAGUCCCGCAACGAGCGCAACCCUUGUUACUAGUUGCCAGCAUUAAGUUGGGCGCUCUAGUGAGACUGCCGGUGACAAACCGGAGGAAGGUGGGGACGACGUCAGAUCAUCAUGCCCCUUAUGACCUGGGCUACACACGUGCUACAAUGGACGGUACAACGAGUCGCGAACUCGCGAGGGCAAGCAAAUCUCUUAAAACCGUUCUCAGUUCGGACUGCAGGCUGCAACUCGCCUGCACGAAGUCGGAAUCGCUAGUAAUCGCGGAUCAGCAUGCCGCGGUGAAUACGUUCCCGGGCCUUGUACACACCGCCCGUCACACCAUGAGAGUUUGUAACACCCAAAGUCGGUGGGGUAACCUUUUAGGAGCCAGCCGCCUAAGGUGGGACAGAUGAUUAGGGU
rnacentral:rRNA from 1 species